UAAGAAUUUAAAAGUCGAACAGACUUAUUUAUAAGAAGGCUGCUUCUUAAAAUUUUCUUAAUUCAACAUCGAGGUCGCAAAAUACAAUAUAGAUAUGAACUCCCCAUUGAUAUUACGCUGUUAUCCCUGAGGUAACUUAAUCUUAUUUUCCAUAUUUACAGGAUCUAAAAUAACAUAAAAAAUGAUUUUUAAAACUAAAGUUAAUUAUUUAGCCACCACCCCAGCAAAAUAUAAGGUACAUAUUAAAAAUAUUUAAAUAAAACUUGAUAAUAUAAAAUUAUAUAAAGUUCUACAGGGUCUUAUCGUCCCAAUAAGUCACUAAAGCAUUUUAACUUUAAAUUUAAAUUUUAACAUUUAAAGAAAUAAAAUAUAAUUCUCAUACAUCCAUUCAUACAAGCUUCCAAUUAAAAAACUAAUUACUAUGCUACCUUUGCACAGUCAAAAUACUGCAGCCAUUUAGAAAUUCAAACCAUAGGGCAGAAGAUACUUUUUAUAAAAACA
rnacentral:rRNA from 1 species